CCACAAGUCAGUCAAUGACCCCAAAUGGGCACAGAUGUGAGCGACACAAGUGCAGUGGAGACAGAUGUCACUGUGGGCUGAGGCCUCCCGGAGACGCCCUGCCGUGGGCUCUGAUGGCGGGAAGCAGACAGGACACUCCCAGGGACCCCAGGGAGAACUCAGAUUCCAAGCUGGACAUCGGCUACGACAACUUAGGUGGCUUUCUUUCUCUUCUACCCUUUGUGGACAUGGAGACCUCCCUGCACAUCCCAACAGGAAAAACAAGCCGUGCCUCCCAUCCGUCUGCCAGAGUCAGACCACAAACAAAGGAAAGGAAACCGUCCCCGACGUGAAAACACACAGUCCCGCCCGCCACCGCCACUGGCUGGUCAUUGAUAGUUAGGAGAGACGUGGGCUGUCUUCGGUGGUGGUUUCCUGGGUGUAUACUUAUCCCCAAACUCACCGAAAUUUAUACAUUAAAUAUGCACAGCUUU